GCUGACACACUGGUCUUCAUAUGAUCCCUGAAGUUAAGCCACGUCGAGCCUUGUCAGUACCUAGAUUGGUGACCACUUGAGAAUACCAGCUGCUGUAAU